CUACUUACCUGGACGGGGUCGAUGGGCGAUCCAUAAGGCCCAUGGCCUAGAUUGGUGAACUUCAUUGCACUGAGGAUGGGCGUCCGUCUAAGGUCGGCCCAAGUGGUCGAGCCUGCGUUAUAAUAUGUGACAGAGGGGGCCUGCGUUCGCGCGGCCCCUGC